CAGUCGCCGCGGUAAUACGGAGGGUGCGAGCGUUAAUCGGAAUUACUGGGCGUAAAGCGUACGCAGGCGGUUUGUUAAGUCAGAUGUGAAGUCCCCGAGCUUAACUCGGGAACUGCAUUUGAAACUGGCAGGCUAGAGUCUCGUAGAGGGGGGUAGAAUUCCAGGUGUAGCGGUGAAAUGCGUAGAGAUCUGGAGGAAUACCGGUGGCGAAGGCGGCCCCCUGGACGAAGACUGACGCUCAGGUACGAAAGCGUGGGGAGCAAACAGGAUUAGAUACCCCGGUAGUCCCUGUCUCUUAUAC
rnacentral:rRNA from 1 species